CCACACUAGAAUAAACCGAGGGUGGUUUAACUCUGGAGUUUGGGGUGUCAUGGAGAUUGAGCUACGCUUGCGAGGCUUGUUGCGACGGACCAAGGUACGAAAUGGAUACUACCUAUUUGGCCGUUUAGGUUUUGGUUCAGUUAUCCUUUUUAAGUCGAUGGAAAUGUAGAAAUAUGUUGUUUAGGCCUUGUUCGGUUCUUUGAGAAUUGAAGGGGUUUGGAGGGGAUUUGAAGGGAUUAUAGCCCCUACAAAUCAAAUUCCACUUCAAUCCCCCUCGAUCCUUUUCAAUCUCUUUCUUGUUGAGAUUAACCGAACAAGCCCUUAAGAGGUUUUAACAAGGACAUGUAGAGUGUUAAUAAACACCUUAGAGAUCAUCUGCUGAAGCAAUCCUAUACAGGUCAGGGUUGUUAUUAAUAAAGAUUAAUUUUUUGUAUAUUGCGAAAGGUCGUAUUUCUUCUCAUUUUAUUACUUGCCUGCCUGCAAAGUCACACUGGCGAUGACUUUCCAAAGUCUAAACCUCAACCAUAUUCCUAUUUCAACUUCUUCACUGUGCGAUACCAAAAUAAUAUGAACACAUAUCCUAUUAGAUUUCGUGUUUGUUCCAAAGGGUGCAAGUGUUUCUUGGAAUGGAUGUGAUUGUUUUCACUACAGUUUUGUCAGUGAUUACAUGAUGUUAUUACUAUUUUGCUGGAAAGGUUACCACAAAUUCAAAAAUGUUAGAUCAUAUAUGAUGUUAUUACUAUUUUACUAGUGAUAACUGUAAAUGCAACAACGCUUCAAAGUUGUGGACCGUUUUUAAUAUUCAAUAAAGGUUCUACGAUUUGUCUUUCUAAUAUUUAACUCAAAAGAAAAACAGAUACAGAUCAUUAUUUUUUUCAGCUGUUAGAUCCUAUAUGUGUUUUUCAAACGACAGGCAGCAAUUAUGCCCAUUCUAUUAGAAGAGGAAAGAAUACCAGAGUUUGCUCUUAGCUACAACUUGAUGCUGGAUAAUGCCUCGAACGCCAAACACACCCAGCCAAACCAGGCAUUAGCCCAGGUCAUCGCUGACUACACGUCUAAACAAAAGUUGCCGUUGACGCAUCCUUAGCAAGCCCACACACCUCAGCCACAGUGCUGUAGCAAUUUUUGAAAAUACAACGAUUUCUCUCCCCCCAAAUAUUCCACACCGGGUAAAUCCCGCCCUGUCGCGAGCCGGCACCAAUUCCGCCCUGUCGCGAGCCGACACCACCAUCCGAACAUCGUCCCACCACGGCAGAAAUCGGUCAUCCAGCGCCUCGAAGAGCCUUUUUUUAAGAAAAUGCAUACAUCCAACUUUAUAAAUAAAUUCACGAGGCAGAAAACACAACAUGCAAAAAUCAUCAUGCCAACAACCAGCGGUGCACAUGAUCAAAUAGUUUUAAGGCACCCACGCCAUCAACAAAGAAAUAAAAUAGGCGCGCAGGCCAACAACCUACCCCUAAGAGCAUCUCCCACAGCCGCGCUUCGCGCCGCGUUCAAAAAAUGUGUUUGCCGCGCGCGCUUCGACUGGUUUAGCGUGGGGAUAGACGCUGGCUCCAACGGCCGUACUAUAAUGCAGCGCGCGCCGCUCCAGCAGCGUCCAAAAAUGCAGCGCGCCAGCACGCACAAACCACAUGUACAUUUCAGAAAAUAGGAGCAAAAAUGAUCAAACAAACAAAAUAAAUCAACAAUGAAUAGUCAUUACAACUCAAACAAAUAGUUUAUCGUUCAGGACAACAAAUAAUGCAAUAAACACAACCAAUAGUUCAUGAACAAUACAAUACAAAUAUGCAAUAAACACAACCAAAUCAUGCUCUUUGUCGUCCAUGCCAUGCCCACCACUCUUCAAUCAGAUCCUUCUGAAGAUCAUUGUGCGUUGCGGGACGCCGAAUGGCAUGAUAGGAGGCAACAAAACGGGCUACCCUUUCAGCCCUCCGUUGCCGGGGAGCGCCUGAACGGUCGCCGGGGGCGCGAGCGGCGGCGGCAGCGCGGCCGGAUGGGGGUGGCAGUGGGGAGCGAGCGCGCGAGAGUGGAGGAGCGAGCGCGGGAGAGUCGCGCACGGGGGAGCUGGCACAGCAAAUAAGGGGCGCGCGAUUGCGUUUCGGCCUGCGCGCGCCGUUUUUGCGCGCCCGCUAGAGCUGCCCGCCGCGUUGCGCGCGCGCUAAAACUGCCUUUUUUCCGGCGCGGUGCUAGUAUAGGGCAGCUGUUGGAGAUGCUCUAAGAGCUCGUAGUGACGACAUUAAGCUUGAUCACCAUCAGCUGGAGAAGACAAGGAGUUGGCAGAUGCCCGUACUUUAGAAAUCAUCAUUUCGAGGGCAUCCCGAUUGGCAGGCUUAGUCAAUAAUUUUCACUGCUACAAGAAGAUGAACAUCUUAAACAAGAAAUCGACAGGUUGUUAGCAAAGACACCCUCAAUGAUGAACUUGUUCCUAGUAGUCCAAAGCACACAACAAAGCGAUCCAAAGCCAACCCACAACAGCCAUUUAGACAAACCCUGGAGCCCAGAAGGAAGCGCACGAAGCUCAUCGAACGAGUGGGAGACGAGGAGACAUCUAACCAAGAUCGAAUACAACACCAAGCCAAUUUAGCCAACACACACCCAAAAAAGAUGUGGUUGGCAUCUUCCAUAUGCGAGCAGAGAGCACAGCGGUCUAAGCCAUGCUCGUUUCUCUUGCAGCUGACCCCGGAUAGCCUGCCAAAGAAAAUUCUUGAUCUUGGGUGGCAAGUUGGCCGACCAAACUUUCUUGAACUUUGAGGUGGGAGAUCGAGGAAUGAGAUGGGAAUACGAAGACUUGAUGGAAAUCCUCCCAGAGACCAAAUGAGGGCAGACAACAAUGUCCUCCUCCUUCAAGAGCAAAGGGAACAAAGCAGUAAGGCGAUGCGAGUCACCCAACUCUGUAGGAGAGAGGGAUCUCUUGAAGCCUAGGUCCCAAUUAUUGCGAGAGAACUCAGAGAUUGGAAUCUCAGGGUUAGAACAAUAAGAAAACAACACAGGAAAAAAGAAAGGCUAAUGCAGAGUCACAUAACCACCAAUCCAACCAGAAGCGAGUGGAAACCCUCUUUUUAACGAUAAACUGAACAUGCUCACAAAACACAUCACGGACCUUGACCAGAUCUUUCCAAAAUUUCAAUGGGAAGCGAAGGCAAACAUAGGGCUGCCACAAGGAAAGUACUUAGGUUUCAACAGAUCAAACCAAAUGGUGCCAGGAGUAGCCAUCAUAAUCCUCCAUCACCAUUUGAUAAUGAGACAUUUAUUCAUAAAGACAGUGUUCGGAAUGUCCAACCCCCAAGGUUUUUAGGCCUACACAUAUACUCCACUUACCAACCCUAUAUUUGCGUCUUUUAUCCUCCGCGUUCCAAAAAAGCACCUAUGUUCUUGUCAAAGACAUAGUGAAUCUCUUGCGAGAGACGGUAGAAGCCCGUGGAGAACAUGGGAAGGGAGGAAGGACACACAUUGAUAAAACACACCUUCCCCGCGGAGGUGUUGUAUCGGCCAUGCAAAGUCAUCACCCAAACUCUUUAGCACAAAGAUGAAACGGGAAAAUAGGGAGACCCGGGUAUUUAAAGGGGGGAGGAGCCUAGACUGGAGCUCAAAAGCUGAGACAUUCUCACCACCUCAUCCUCUAACACUCGAAUCACGAUCACCUCACUUUAGGAAAAAUUAAUAUUAAGCCCUAACAAUGCUUCAAAACACAGACGAAUGAACUUGAGAUGAGCAAGGAAGACCUCACUCAACUGAACCAUAAUAAUAGUAUCAUCAGCAUAUCGGAGAUGAGUGAUGCCCUAUGACAAGAGGUGGAAGAUUACAGGAGAGAUAUGGCCAGCAACAGCGGCCCGAUCCAGAAUGGAAGAAAGGGCAUUGGCCACAAAGUUGAAAAGAAUGGGGGAAGCCGGAUCACCUUGACGAAGGCCCCUACAACUCGCAAAGUAAUUACUACUAUUUUCAUUCACAACCACUCUUGUGUGACCACCAGACACAAGCUGCAUCCCCAGAUGCACAUAAAGUAGCCUCAAAACCUUUCGCAAGAAGAACUCAUCGAAGGAAAUCCUAACUAACAUAAUUGUAUGCCUUCUCAAAAUUGAGUUGAAGAAUAAUGACUCGAGAGCCUCUAGCCCCGGGGAGCCCUAGCGCUAAAGCAAUAGUCUGCUGCUCAAUAGCCUUAGCGACAAUGCACGAAACCUAUCUGGAGAAGGGGCAUCCAAUGGCAAGGUGGUCAGCUAUCUCUAGUCCGGUGUCGCAGAGGCAACCCACAUGCCGCAAAUCCAUCCCGUUGCCGCCAAACUAUCAACAGUAUAAGAGUUAUCUCCAACAGCGAUCCGUCCAAAAUUUAGCACUAGCACCAUCAUUUGUGAAUAUAGUGACAUAGGUAUAAUACAAGGACCUGUCGACGUAAUCAAUUGUAGUUGUCGUCCCGACCCUUGUCCUUGUCCAUCCAUAUGUACCAAAGCCAACUAGACCCUAUCAAGGCCACCAAGGGACUUCGGUCUGCAUACCUUCUGCCAAUUAAUUAAACAAUGUCCGCCAUUGCACACAUCAGCCCCUUUCUAAAAUCAAGCACACAUGAAUUUGUUGGCCUUGCCAAUUAACCACUUGGUGGGGGCGAAGGAUGACACAAAGUAGAUGGAGCGUGACAUCAACACAGAGUGGACGAGACUAGGCUUGCCCGUCCUAUUGAAAUGCUUCCCCUUCCAACCUGCUAAACGUGAUCCCAUCAUGUCGAGGAUAAAGUGGGUUUAAGAUUGUGUGAGCAUGGGAAACUCUCGUGUUGGCANNNNNNNNNNNNNNNNNNGGGAAAGAGGCGAGGACGACUCCCUAGUACUACUUGUAGCAAGCGAUCGAGUAGAUCUUGCUCUUCGUGAUGUUGUUCACUAGGUCGGUGGCCUGGCCAAAUAGAUCAAGGAGCUCCAACAGGACCAUGAAAUCCUCCCUACUCAUAAGAAUGAUAAUGGAAGCGUCAUUUGCAUAAAAGGAGAUGUGCAACCUUGCAUCCCUGCUACCAAUGGGCGAUAGGAGGCCAUGCGAGCUCCGCCGUGUCAAACAGCAUCACGAGCGGGCCAAUGGCGAUGAUUAACAACCUGGGGUAGAGAGGGUUCCUCUGGCGCAGCCCCUACAAUUCUUGAAUGUGGAUCUAGGUUCAACAUUAAUAAUGACCUUGGAUGUGGCCGAAGAGAGGAUCAAAGCAGCCCACUCCCUCUACCAUGGGUUGAAACCCAUAUCUUGUAGUAGCUCCAAAAGGUAUUCCCACCUGGCUGUAUCGAAAGCCUUUGGGUUGUCAAGCUUGAGGAAUAAUCCCGGUGUCGCCUCUGGAAGUCUUUGAUCACAUUCUGGGUAUACAUGUCCUGUAUGUGCCCCUGCUUGAUGAAAGCACAUUGGUUCCUCGAGAUUAUGAUGUGUAGCAUUGGUCCCAAGCUAUACGGCCUCACUUUGGACAAGAACUUUCCAAGACUAUGUGUGAGGUUGAUGGGUUUGAAAUGAGAGGCAUGUGAAACAUUGUUCUUCUUAGGUAGCAAGGUUAUUGAAGCAGAUUUGAGCAACCCGAACCGGCACCCCCUCAAGUCGAACAGCUGCCUCAAGGCUGCGAUGAUAUCACCCUUCGCCGGUCACUCUUUGAUCCAAUGUGUCAUAUGUAUCUAACUGGUUUUAUUUCUUUCCAAAAAGUUGAUAUACCCUAGGCCUUUGCAUCGGUUGAGGCACACACCCAUAUAUUAUUAAUUAUGGAAGCAAUGUCAAAUAAAAUCCAACAAUUAUACUCAUCAAAUGGGCUUAUAUAUAUAAUAACUCGAGGCCAUCCACGCAAGACAUUUUUUACGCAUGUAACCCUCUACGCCAAUUAUUUGAAAUAAAUACUCCUUCCAAACCAUGAUUGAAAAAAGAAUACCUAGACGAAAGCUAGCUAAUUUACAUGUGCCUCUUUCCGCCAUAAACCAUGAUGGGAGGAACAUCAUGCCGACACAUGGAUAUGGUUCCGAAGGACAUGCCUCGCUGCAAAAUCUCCAAAACCUAUCGGAUCUACGUGACCUAAUAAGCAUGAUUGUUGUUGAGUCACCUCGAGAGCCUAGAAGGGGCCAUAUGUCGAUCCAUGCAGUGUAGAUAACUCCGUAGAUAUAUACACUAUUUUCUGCUAAGCUAAGUUGUGGUUGCGCCGCAACCUAUAGCUCUACCAUCAAACGUGCCUAUUACACCAGGUGAUUGCGCCCGUAGCUCGCACGUCGUCCGGGGCCAAAUGUGGUCUUGAUCUUACUUGCAUAAGCCAUUUGUGCCACGAUGGAGCAACCUCCAUGCCACACACGCUAGACACACUGGCCAAGAUAUGAUCCUAUGGUUCUGAGCCAAUACUCACUGCACCGCCACGAAGCAACCCCCACGCAACACACACUCGAUGCAGGCACAACCACCCGAUGCGUUGGACUUCUCAUGUUAACCCCAAAGGUGAAGACAUCAUAUUAGUAUGUUAGUGCGCCUAACAUUACCACACCAUAACAAUUUAGAAACAAUUGUACCACGCACACCUCGUCACCAUUUCCUACGACUGCUAGCACCAACUUCACGUGAUUCGAGAACCAUGCCAUCCAGAAGAGACUCUGCAUCCAUGAUACGUGAAGCCGACAACACCAAUACACCCACCUACAUGUUGUCUGUCAUAUCAUGCCACAUAGAGUAACCAAAGCUAGCGGAGGCAACCCUCCUCUUGGCGGUAGGUGCAAAGUUGUCAGAAUCGCGAUUCUGAAUGAGAUCGGAGCUCCGUUGAUAGGAUCGCGAGUCAUAGAAUCAUAACUAUCAGGAUCGUAGAAACUUAGAUUCUAUGAGCAAAAUCGUAGAAUCGGAGGGGAUAGUUUAGAUCGGAGGCAGUCACCGCAUUGGACACGUGUUUGCCCUAACAAGCACAACCAGCAUAUUAUUAUACGAUACGAUGCCUUAUAUCCAUUGAUCUUAGAAUCCUUCGGUGAGCCACCCGACCACCACCACGACUGGGGACACAUAGGCACAAUGGCUAGCCGUUGCACUAUGCUCGGUGGACGCGUCCCUCCAGGUGACAAGUAGGACAAAUACGUUAGACUGAUAUAAAAAUAGAGUUCUCUAGUAUAUAUUUAUAGGUGAAAAACCCAGACACGCCACAUAGGCAAGUUUAGCGACUACACAUAGAAAUAUGUGCCACAUAGGUAGAGUUGACAGCUAGGGAUGAAAAUGGCAAUUUGCACUAAAGUUUAAGCACUCAAAAGAGUAUUUUAUAAGUUUUAGCAUCAAAGUGAUCAUCCAAUGCAAGUUCUUGCAUCGUUGGUGUAUUUACCUUCUUUAGUAACAUUAGAUGUAUGAAUAUACUGAACUGGGAGUCAUGAAUGAUGAAUUGAAUACUACUAUAUAUGACUUAUAAUGUGAAAAAACAUUUAUUUAAUUCUAUAUAUGGCACAUNNNNNNNNNNNNNNNNNNNNNNNNNNNNNNNNNNAUAUAUGGCACAUUUUUCAAAUGUGCCUAAGAAAGUAUUAGAUUAUAAAGACUCCUAAUGAGAAAAGACCACUUAUUUAACCAUGUUUUGGGUUAGACACAAUUUUUUUUGAAAAGGAUGUUGAAAUCGCACUCUAUAACAAUGUGUUGAACAUAACCAUUUUUAUUAAGGUCUACCCAAUACAUUGAGACCGGAUUCAUCAAUAAGUGUAGCACAAAACACACAUAACAACAUCGGAUCCAUUAGAAAUAACACCCAAGCCUAAGUCAAGCUUUUUCUACAACAACGUCUUAAGGAGAUAAACAUCAUUGUGCCACCAUUUUGAUAUUCGGUCAAAGAUGACCAUGACAAGGACUUUUCAACCUGGUUGCGUAGACCAAAGACAGAAAGUGAGCACAUCAAUAAGAAGACAACAACAUGAUAAUGACACAAAUUUGUUUCACCAUGUCGACCAAUAUAUGAAGUAACAUGAUUUUUGAACCCGGAUAUGAAGUGUGCUCUAAUCACCAUGGUGAUGAUUCUACACACCACCUAAUAACCAAUGCGAGGCCAUACUAGCAUUUGUAGAUUGGUGGGAUGAAUUACCACCUUAGACUAUCACCACGCCCUCUAGGAGUCGAGUGAUCUAGCAAAGCGGGUCAAGUGUGCUCUAAUCACCAUGGUGAUGAUUCUACACACCACCUAAUAACCAAUGCGAGGCCAUACUAGCAUUUGUAGAUUGGUGGGAUGAAUUACCACAUUAGACUAUCACCACGCCCUCUAGGAGUCGAGUGAUCUAGCAAAGCGGGUCUGCGCGGAGCCACUCAAUAUUCGGCCUAUCCACAAAUUAAGCAUCCACCAAGUCCUUAGGGUCGUUGCCCCAACAUCCUUCAUGUGACAAAAUGCAAAUGACACCUUCUUGAUAAUGGCAGGGAACUGUCCAUCAACAAAAUGUGCUUACGUUGGUUGUUGCAUGCUCUCUGACACCCACUAUCAGCAUCCACUCCACAACCGGGUAUGACAUAUACCACGCGCAUGGCCACUGUCGUUGCCGCUGCUUCAUCCAUCGACGUCCAGGCUACCGCUUGAACGAGAUAGAUACCGUGUUGGUGCACUCGAGGACCUCAAAGUUCCAUUGAGACAAGUGACACCAUUGGCGCAAGGCAUGCAGCCUUGUGGUAACCUAGACUGGACACGAUUGCUUCUCACACCACAACACCUGCAUAAGGAGCGCAACCAGUCGUCAUCGCGACAACCACAUGCAGUCGUGCUUCCCACUACAUGCAUCUAGGAGAUCCCCUUAUCCCCUGAGGGCCUCCACCUUGUCCUCCGUCAUGUUGAUAGAGUCCCACAUCGCCAUGAACGCUAGGCCACGAAUGGCUAAGAGAUGAUCGACAUGAAACCCGGGGUGCAUCUUGUCAUCCAGGAUUGUGAACCACUCGUUCGUUCCCCGACACUGGCGUUGUGGAAGGAGGUGAGUGUCAACACUGGACUUUUCAUGAACUCGGGGCCUUGUCUGUGAGUCCUCCUUUGUCUCAUAGGAUAGGAAUAGUACAUACAUAGGAAUGUCAUAAGUAGUGAGAUGACAUGCAUCUCAAUUCCUAUAGGGAAAGNNNNNNNNNNNNNNNNNNNNNNNNNNNNNNNNNNNNNUCAUUUUAUGCAUAGGAUAAUCAUUUUUUCAUUGAGUCUAGGAUUUUUUUUUCUUUUUAAUGUGAAUGAUUUAUUCAUAUACUAGAUAGGAAUAGGAAUCCAUUCGUCUGAACGAAAAGUCUUCAAAGGAUCUCUUUUUUCUAACAAAGUUCAUAUGCUUAAGAAUUCCUAAAAAAAUUCUAUGAACCAAAGGGGGCCUUGACGUGUACAGAGUUGUGGCGGGAUGGGGAAAGGCGAUGGGGUGGUGCGAUUUGCGGGAAGGUGAUGAGGUGGUACGGUAGUUGACUCACCAAUCCCGAAAUUCCAGGCCGAGUGUGGUUUCUUUCGGUCAAGGUAGUGGUUGUAGUUGUUAUUAGUUAUGAUUAAGGACUAAAGUAUAUUUAAACCAGCCCCGGUCUUUCAAGUAAUAUAAUGCAAUUUAAUUAAAUUCAUUUUUGUAUUAAUAAAAUAACAUAGAGUUGAGCUCUUUAAGUUACUGCCAACAUUGGUGAUAAAAAUAUUCUUCANNNNNNNNNNNNNNNNNNNNNNNNNNNNNNNNNNNNNNNNNNNNNNNNNNNAAGAGAUGAAGUGAAUUUUGUCUAUUCCCCAUACAUGCAUACACCACCACACGUUUCACCCAUAUUAAUUUACUCAAUUGUUGUCAUCCUUAACCAAGUUUGGUCAUGAUGUUGUGGUUGUGUUUUCAGUUUGAUUUUUUUGUGGUUAUGGAUGAUUAUUGUUUCCACACCUUGCUUUGUUACACUAGCCUAGGUUGAGGCUGGUUGUCAUGGUUGCCUUUUAGUUGUGGUUCGUUGACCUUUUGGUUAAUAAUUCAUAGGUUCUUGAGGUUCUGUCAGCCGAGUCAUGCCUCUUUGGUGUUUGGGUCAUGUAUUGACACGGUAUCAUCUACUUUUUUUAACCAAUUCACGUUCACAUCACUAGUGCAGAGAAGCCUACUAGUGGCAUGCUCAAAUUGCUAUUAGUGUGUGUAGAUGGCACACCACUAGUAACACAUACUAGUUAUGUGACACACGUAACACACAUCACUAAUUACAUGUUAUACUAGUGGUGUGUGGAUUAUAUCACAAAUAAGCUUUACUUGUUUUUCAAAAUUAUAUAUUCUUUCUAGUGGCGCGCUACUUGGGGCAUACAUCAUUAAUUUAUACUGCAUCAUAUUAGUGGGUGCAGUUAUACCCACACACCACCAGGAGCAAUUUCCAUUAUUUUAAAGUAUUAUCGCAAUUAUUUAAUUUCAUCAACACAUUAAACAAAUUUUUGAGAUAUGCAUAAAUGUAUAUAUACAUAAUUUCUGAGUUACUCAUACACAUGAUGGGACAUAUACCCUACAUGAUAAGCUUGUUGAUCUUCAUUUGCUCCCUAUAUAUGAAAAACAGAAUAGCGUGAGGAUUUGUUUUUUAAAUCAUUUGUUACCUUCAAGAACGACUAUAUGCAAAAAAAUUGGCCAAAAGUUCUCAUAUAUAUUACGAACCUAUCAUUUAUAAGCUAAAGAGCCCAUAUUUGCUGCCAUGAAGGCUUUUUGGGACCAUUUUCUCUACCAUUGCAGAAUUUAUUAGCCAAACGGCUCAUUCUUGCUAUAACGGCAAUAUUUUGGAGCCAUCUUUGCUGCCAUGUCAUCAUUUAUGAGCCAAGGUUCUCAUUUUGCUGCCAUCGCAACAUUUAUGAGAAAAUCUAGAGAAGGUGUUUCCAAGAUUUCUAACAUCAAAGAAUAAUUUUCUUCUAUUCAAUUGGAAUCAAUAAAUGUCACUCAUCCACACAUUGGGAUCGUUUUGUUCGUCUUUUCAGUAACUCCAACAUCAUAUACAUUAGCAUUAAAAGCUUGUAGCUUGACCGUUCUGGAGAUGUUUCGUCCAUAAAGGUUCAAAAACCAUUCGUGUAUCAUAUAUUUGCUAUAUGUGAUACCGGAGUGGUUGCGAACACAAAAAUCUGGGGAAGGCUCAAAACAAGAACCUCAUGGAGGUGACAUAUGUUUUUCGAAACGGAGACAUAAGAUUUGCCUCAUCUAUUAAAUAAGGGGAGAAUAGAGUUAAGAGUUGUACAACACAUUCACAACUUCGGCAUGACAAUUACUCGUCUGAAAAAAUAUUCUCUAAAUUCUUCGCUCCUUCGAUAAUCCAGAGCUUGGCCUCCUCAAUAAUGGAGGAAAGCAAGGUAGUCGGUGACGAACUCUUGUGGAGGAACACCCGUGCAUUUCUUUCAUUCCAAAUGGUCUACGAGACAAGCAUGGUCAGGGAAGCCAUAGCUUGCCGAUUGGGGUUGCGUUUGUCAGUUCUCCUAUCGCAUCACUCGUAGACUCACUCAUCCAGGAGCCAUAUGGAAGUUUUCAUGUGCGCGAGUCCUAGCUUUUCAAUGAUAGACUUCCAUAGCCUGAUCGUGAAUAUAUGAUGCUUGAGUUACAGAGAACAUGACUAGAACGAUCCCGAAGUUUGAGCGGGUGACAUUUCUUUUUCUUUAGAAAAGGAGGAUAUACCCCCGGCUUUUGCAUCUGGACGAUGCAUACAUCCACUUUGUUAAUUAUUCACAGAGACCAUACAAAGUAAUAUAUCAGUCAGCCUGAAGCCACCGUCUAGGCAACAUCUGUUGCUACUCCUAUCCCUUGAUGAAGUUGUGCCGAAUAUCCACGCCAAAUACCAAACAGACAUCGCAACAAAUCCUAACGUCUAUAGCCGGAUGCCUCAGCCCAACCACACACUAGGACUGGAACCCAUACCGGCCCCGCGCACACUCAGAGGCUGCCUUCACCAUCUUUCACCGGUCCAUCUCUAGAGCUAGAACAGACGCAUCUUCUUUGCUAGGCCUGCCGUCCACGCCACCACGAGGCCAGAGAGCGCCACCAUCCUGCACGUAUCCGUCUACACGCGCGUGUCGCCGAACCACUGCAGUGCCAUGCCCCCGGGAUCCACUGUAGAGAUCGUGGUAGAUCAAACACCGCUCCUCCUCUUGUCCCAUCCACCUAGCACGUAUUCCAAAACGACGCCCUCAGGAGGGAAACGACAUCGAAGAUGCCAUCAUCGUCCGACCGAUAGAUCCAGUUUUAGGGUUCGCCCCGAAGCAUCACGAGUGGGGUGCCACGACCUGCAACAAAGAUGCCUCGAGAUGGUAACGACGUCCUAGACGCCGCCAUCAUCCGCCAUGACCGAAGUCGGCGCGGUUUUCACUGGAAGUCGCGUCCCCCCCCCCCUCAUCACGCGGCUGGGUGGAACCGAGGGAGGACCGUCGUCGACAUUGCCGGCAGGGGCCUCCAGCCGCCACUCACCGAUCCUUCUCGCGCCACCGGCCGAUCAAGGUCAAACCGUGACGGAUCUGGACAGGCCAGAUCCGCAACCCCCGACCUCCCCACGCGCGACGGCCCCUCCACCUCACUAGGGAUCCGCAGCUACCACCCGCCCUGGCUCUAAGGCGCACGGCCCACCGCCACCGCGGCCCUUGCCGGCGGCAGCGGCGGUUCGGGAAGGAUAAAAAGUGUCUGGUGGCUAGAGUUUCGGGGCCCCUGGCAUUGCCCGAGGGGAGGUGACGCGAGGGGUACGCGAGGGAAGGCGACUUCUGCGAGUCUAGCACAAUGUGAAUCAGGUACCUUGUAAACCUUCUCAGAUUCAUCACGACAACUCUAGAUAACUAAGAUGAUGGCAGGAUCACUAUCAUCCUUUUAGAAACAUAAGUAAGACGAUGAAAAGACAACUCUGUAUAGUAAAGUUCAAAACGUCAACUCAACAGCAAAUGUGUGUAUACAAAAAACUAAAGCAUCUCUAGUACGUAUCAUUUACUAAUCUAGUGCUCAGUUUGGUUGAAUAAGGAACUGGCAGGGUGAGCGGUUUCUACCGAGCUGUACAAGGAUGAUAUGUCAUCAACAUGUCCCUUUAAGAGAGGCGCUCGCUCCUCCGUCGUUUCAUCGCCGGUAUAGAAGAGCCCAUUCUCGUCGACGAUGACAUAUUUCCUGAAAAAAGAAACACAUGAGCCAUUAAAAUGAGGUGUGUUGGCUCGGCUCGAUGAUCGGUACCACACUAGCAAUCCAUGCAUUAAAAAGUUGCUCAUUGACAUAACGAUAGUUCGAUGGUCCAACACAAAAUUUAAUCAUCUCACAUAUGCAUGUGCAGAAUAAUGUACAUUUUCAUUCAAGAUGACGAUGAUGCCUCGGAAGUUAAUACUCAGGCUGGUUGUAAUAGGUAGUAUCUUAUAUUAAUACCAUGCAUAUGAUACUAGUCUAUGAUCCUGUUUGGAUCCAUGGGUUAGAGUUAGAGUUGGUUAGAUUGGACCAACUAAGCCCAAAACAUCCAAGCAGGAGGGUUAAAGUUGGUUAGAUGCAUCUAACUCAUUCAAAAAACUAAACCACCCACGAGGUGCUUAUUUCGGUUAGAGUUAGGUGGGGUCCAGAAAAAGUUACUUUUCCCUCUACCUCUACCACACCAAAUCCUAGAUAAAGGAGCCAAAUGAUUGGAAAAAGUGCUUUUAUUGAUAAUCUAACCCUAUCAUCCAAACACCUUUUUGGUUAGAGUUAGUUCAAAGUUAGUCUAGGGUUAGAAUCUAACUUUAACCUCUAACCGAGUUAGAGUAUCCAAACAGGGCCUAUGAUACCACAUCCGUAAUGCAUAGUACUAUUUUAGUAUCAUAGGAUAGUUCAUUUAUUGUCAUGCAAGACACACAGUAGCACAUCAUUUAAUAUGAAACGGUAUCAUGAUAUGAUACUCAACCCUUUUUUUAUAUUUAAUUUUAUGUCAUUUCAUCGAAAUUGACUAGUUGACAUGCAUGAUACUAUCUAUGAUACUUUCAUUACGGACAGCCUCAUAUUCAGGCAAGGACAAAGAGUGGAUCGAGACAUUGAUCGGGGGAGGGAGGCCAGAUAUAUAUGGUAAUGGUGUGGUGUGGUGUGGAUUGAAGGGGACGAGGUAGGAAUGGAGAGGGAUAUAGAGGAUUUGGGAAAAGAAAUUUAAACGAGAGAGGUUUGUGGAGGAGAUGUAGCUAACCAUUAAUGGAGGAGAGAGGUCUUAAUUUAAUGCACGUGAGAUGGUCANNNNNNNNNNNNNNNNNNNNNNNNNNNNNNNNNNNNGGGAAAGAGAGUAGGAGAAUGUUUGGAUUGCUUCCUAGCCUUGUCACGCCUAGCAUGUAGCAUCCCUGAGAAUGGCCUUUGGGUGUGUUUGCUUGCCAUCCUGGAGAAACCGAUUCUAGCAUGGGCAACUUGCCUCACCACCUAGCUUUGCCCGGGCAGUUUACCAUGCAUCUUGGUUAGCUUGUACCAGGCGUUUGGUAGCCUGGCGAGCUGUCUGACCCUACUUUUGUUUGUUGGGUUUGGCAACCUUGCAUAGUACUCGCUCUGUAAACAAAUAUAAGAACGUUUUGAAGACAUGGAGUUUCAAAACACGUGUUCAAAUGCUUCCGACAUGAAUAGUGAAAUUAAAACAGAUUCAAAACAAAAUUUUAAAAAAUUUGUGGCAUACUUUUAAAAAUGUUUGUUGUGCAUACAAAAUUUAAUCACGAAAUCAAAUUGGUGGAAGGCGUGGUGGAAAAAACAAAAUCGAUUCUUUGAAAAUGUUACUUUCAAAUGCAUUUUGAAGAUCUGAUAAUUAUUUUGUUGCCACGACUUCCACCUAUGUGAUUUUGUGAUGAAAUUUUAGACGCAUGACAAACAUUUCUUAUAUUAUGCCACAAAAGGUUCCAAUUUUCUGUUUUUUUUCAUUUAUUUUAUUGUACUGUUCAUACCAAAACAUUUGAGUUCGCAUGUAGAAAGGUACUUUCGACGUUUAGAUCAUUAUUUUACUGAUUUUAGUAAUUCAAAUACUUUUAUACUUAUCUAAAUGUUUUUAUAUUUCUUUACGGUGGUAAUACUUGCCCAUGCUAGGCAUCAACCAAACACUAGCAGUGUGGUUUGGCCUGACCAGACAGAAAUCAUUUACUUUAUAAGGCUGAAGACAACCACCAAUGUUUCCGAGGCAUGGAGCCCGAGGGCACUGAGCAAACACACCUUAGAUAUAACUAGCUAGAGCUUAGUUAAUUAGCUACAUCUAUAAAGUGCUAAUUAACUAGAUCUACAAUUGUGCAAGGUUUAUGGCGGAGUUGAAGAAAAGAACAAGGAGAGAAGGAAGAAGUGUUGUAGAGGAGAAAUCAUGAGAGAUGGCCACACAUGUGUACAAUGAGCUCAACUCAAUUAUUGGUCAUAGCUGUUAGUGACAAUGCUUUACAUGUCACACACAUCUAACAGCCCACAUACGUGUGCUAAUUUGUUUUAAAU
rnacentral:lncRNA from 1 species